GAGAGGGGUGGUGUCUGGUGUGCGGACUUUUCUCCGUGAGACUGCCUCUACGUACGUUUUGUUGUGCACAGUCAUUCAAGCAAAUGUGACCGGAUCGUCUGCAUAUCAUUUCAGUUUGGGUGGGCAUCGCGGUGAGCUGUGAGGACCCGUUCAGUAAUUGCCAGUGGAACGUGUGCAAUGCCUUUGCCAUCUUUUGUGGUGCGACGUACUGAGGCGGGGAAGAUGCAGGUGAUUCCGCGGACGCAGACAGAGCAGAUGGAGUACAGCAUCGCGGCAGAGAGGAGGAGGAUGAGACUGAUCCCCGCUGAGAUCAUCACAGACCUACUGAGCAGCAGCACCGCUCAACUAGUAUGGAGGUAGGUAGGUGUGUGUGCAGAGGCCUACCAGGGUGCGUUGCGGCACAUCAACGGCGCCUUUAUGACCUUUUGAGGUGCUGGACAAAGGCAGAAAGCCACGCACGUUGCCCCAGAUACAACCCAAACUGGUGGAAGUACAUUAUCUCCUGCAAACAAACGGAGGUGCCUCUGUCUGUACCCUGGGACAUCAGCAACUAGGUAAGACAAAGCACACACACAUAUACACACACUUACAUGGAAGAAUCCAAACCGGUUUCUUUCUCAGCUGUAUCUCAGCUACAACAAUGUGUCUGCACUGAAAAUAAUGGCUGCUCCAAGCAACUGGAUGUUGAGCUCUGAGGAAAAACAAGGUACGUCUCGUUUGUGGAACAGUUAAACAUAAAGGCAUCAAUCAUUAGAAACUUUAUUCAACUAAAUUAGAAUAAGCUCAUAGGAUUGUUUGUUUCCUGCUAACUGUCCCCCUCUCCUCCCUACCGGCUAAUCCAAUUAUGACUUUCGAUGGCCAGCUGAAAAUGCACAGUCAUAGUUAGUCUGCACACUCUGGAGAACCAAAUGCUUUGUUUUAAGGUAGAGUGUCUCAUGUCAACGUCCCCGAUGAACAGGCCUUCCAUCUGCUCUCAGACCUGCGCAGGAGACAUGAGUGGGACAGGCAUUACCUGGACCCAUACCUGAUUGCCCUGCCACUAAGGAAUACACCCGGGGAGAAGUUCUCUGUGCAGGCUUCAGUAUCUGCGAGGAGUCCGACUCAGGGUGGGCCAAUGGGGCUCUUUGUUAACUCAGCGAAAAGCUAGCCUGGUCCAAUAUCUGUUUGUGCUGUAAAGCCUACUUUGGUCGUUCACAUGCCAAACAUGACAAUGACCAUCUCCUACAACCAGGCCACACCAGGAGUCCUCCAUUAUAUCUCCAACGACAUCGCAGGCAUUUCUUCCACCUUUCACUCCUGCAGCAAGUACCGAGAGGAGAACAGAGACAGCCUAGCCACCCUGCCCCCUUCUGACCUGUGACGGAAUGGUAUCAUCCUGAUCCCCUCUGUCCUGUCACACAUGGUGCAGUCCUGGAAGCGCUGCCCAUUUGACCUAUGAUAGAAUGGUACCAUUCUCCUGGCCGCCUUGCACCACUCUGGCCUGUGAAAGAUGGUAUCACCCAGCACCUUUCUGCCUUGUUACUGAAUGACACCGUCCUGCUGCCCUGCACCCCUACCAAUAUGUGCACUUGGAAAGGACCAGGAUAGCUAGUUCCCUUUACACCCAUUCUGUACUGAGGAACAGCCUAACUCUUAUCAUUGGGAGACCUGAGAACGCCAGUUCUGGGAUAUCCCCCGACCCCAACUGCCAAGGAAAUCUGUACUUUUGCAUUUCUAAAAUGUGGGAUUUUCAAAUGUGGGACUAGUUUUGGGAUUACUAAUGUUUGUUACUCUCUUGGAGGUUACAUCAUGAUCUUCCAGACCAGUGUACAUUUCCACACUACAGGUUACUCUUAUCUCUCAAGACUGUCAGCUGGUGAACGUCCAUUUGUAUAAUAUUAUAUCGAACUCACCUCAUCUUUUGAUAUUACGUGCAAUACUUAACAAUACUUGUGUUUAGUUAGGUCUUAUCUGGACAUUAAACAGUUAGUAGCCCUAUGAACAGGAGAAGUAUGCAAACUGGUUUGCUAUGCAGUUGAGUCUGACAUGUUUGUACAUGUUUUUGUCUUGUCUCUUGCUACCGAACUGUGGAUAAAAAAGCAGACUAGUUCAGGUAGGAGUAUUUACAUGCAAUUUGUUUUAUAAUAGGCUAUUUUCUACCUCCUUAAAUCACAUUCUUAAUCCACCAUUUGCCUUUCGAAUCUGUAGUCGAGAUAUACAUCUACUGUAUUUGUGAUUUUUGAUUUGAGAGACUAGUGCACUGUCUAAUCUCAGAAUGAGCCAAAUACACUUUGCUUCACAACAGGUAUUUCAACAUGAGUAGACGCCACGAGGUGAACAAAUAGCCAUGAUUUCACUUGAACAAUAAACACAAUAGACCAGUGA